rnacentral:rRNA from 1 species
ACCCCUUGAGAGUGGCGAACGGGUGAGUAAUAUAUCGGAACGUGCCCAGUCGUGGGGGAUAACGUAGCGAAAGUUACGCUAAUACCGCAUACGAUCUAAGGAUGAAAGCGGGGGAUCGCAAGACCUCGCGCGAUUGGAGCGGCCGAUAUCAGAUUAGGUAGUUGGUGGGGUAAAGGCUCACCAAGCCAACGAUCUGUAGCUGGUCUGAGAGGACGACCAGCCACACUGGAACUGAGACACGGUCCAGGCUCCUACGGGAGGCAGCAGUGGAGAAUUUUGGACAAUGGACGCAAGUCUGAUCCAGCCAUUCCGCGUGCAGGAUGAAGGCCCUCGGGUUGUAAACUGCUUUUGUACGGAACGAAAAGGUCUCUCUUAAUACGAGGGGCUCAUGACGGUACCGUAAGAAUAAGCACCGGCUAACUACGUGCCAGCAGCCGCGGUAAUACGUAGGGUGCAAGCGUUAAUCGGAAUUACUGGGCGUAAAGCGUGCGCAGGCGGUUAUGUAAGACAGAGGUGAAAUCCCCGGGCUCAACCUGGGAACUGCCUUUGUGACUGCAUAGCUAGAGUACGGUAGAGGGGGAUGGAAUUCCGCGUGUAGCAGUGAAAUGCGUAGAUAUGCGGAGGAACACCGAUGGCGAAGGCAAUCCCCUGGACCUGUACUGACGCUCAUGCACGAAAGCGUGGGGAGCAAACAGGAUUA